GCAGACGCGCGCCUCAGCAGGGCGCCUAUAGAAACAUAGGACCCGAUCCAGGAAAAGUUACUGACAGCCUGGAUGAGGCGAACACAAAUGUUAAUACAGCUAACUUUGUUUCUUUCUUCCCCCGCCCCCCGCACUUCCUUUCACGAUUUUUUUUUUUUAUCCUUUAAGAAAUAGACUGCGAAGAAGUUUAGAUCACGAGGUAAUUAUAAAAACCAAUAUAGAGAUUUUGAAAGAGAGACCCACUUCAUAAUUUUAUAGCGAGGAGCAAAAUAUUCUAGCGAAGUCUGGGGUCGUCACCUGCAAUAGAGCAAUGUUCCCACCCUGUUUAAUAUACAUAGUGUGGGAAAUGGAGGGAAAACAUAGCUAGCACCUGUAGUGCCAAAGGAAAAAAAAAUUAAAUUACUUCAUCAUAUUUUGGGGCUAUUUUGCAGGACAUUCUUCAAAAAUAGACCCAUAUUUAAUUAUAGCUCUAAUAAUUUUUCUCUGUGAGACUGCUAGUUAAUACUAAGAAGGAAAUGGAGUUUCUAUCGAGUUUUUAAAUGUUGGUAUCUUUAAAAAAAUAGUAAUUUUCCUAUGUUAAUAGCUCAUCUGGGACUACAAGUGACCAACCUGGAUCAACUUUUAAUUAACACGCUGACCUGCCGAAGAAGCAAAACUCCCUUAAAAAAAAAAAAAAAAAAAAAAAAAAUAAAGGUGUGUAUAUAAAUACAUCGUCGUGACCCUGGAAACCCCAGGGCUCUCCUUGCCCUUUUUGUAGGGAGGAGGUGAUUUUCCAAAGGCGCGAGGAGAUGCGCAGGUUCGGCCCCCGCCCGCCUCCCCUCCCCGCUCAGGCUGCGGGGCAGCGGCGGCCCCGGGAAGGGGGGAUGCGGUCGGAGCGGGCGGGGCACUAUGACCGGAGCCCCUGAGCAGCGUGUGCGAGGAAAAGGCCGUGGCAGACAGGCGGAGGAUUUGGCUCUAUGGGAGGUGUGGUACAAGCACCAGUGGGGGGGUGGACACAAGCUCACGCGUGGGUGCUCCAAGCUCCAGAGCCUGUUCGGUAGCUCCCCCGCACGAAGCACAAAGAGAGGUCAGCAGCCUGAAGGAUGAACUCCUUUUCUUUCUGCUGUUGCCUCGUCAAUGCUUUGUUUGUCUUGUUUUUUCCCUUCAUGGUUAAAUUAAAUAUGGCUUUAAAUUCAGGUUUUUUUUUCCCAUGCACGUACACACUUCAGGCAGAUUGGCUGCUGGAGACCGCCCCCACCCCCCAAAACUGGCACUGGAGUACGUUACUGCCGAGUUACACUUUAACUUCUCUGCAGAAUACAGAAGAGCUCCAGAAUCUGUUCUUUCAGUCAGAGAUGGAAGUGCACUCACCAGGCACAUGGUUCUGACCUCAGCUGGAGGAGACUUGGCCUGGAGUCAAGCAGUUGCUGCACUUACUGAAACAGCCAAAUGAACUGUCUGCUUUGCCUUAGAUUAAACUUCAUUCACUGAUCCAAGACAGUAAGUGAGACAAUAAUUUGCUACUCUUUGUUUUGUAGCAGAUUCUCAUUCAGAAGAAACCUGCAGUUCAGCAUCAGUUUUUUUACCAGCAGCAACCAUGGUGGCAUUGUAAAAUUGUACCUCCAGUAACUUCAACAAGUAGGAUAAAUAAAUGCAGAUGUAAAAAGAGAAAACUCAUCCUGUUUUUAGUAGCACAGAGGCUAUAUGAGAGCAGAGUACAAAGAUAGUGUCAGGAGUCCAGAUGCAAUCAGAAGGCACCAUUAUUUUGAGUGGUAACUUGUAACAAAUAAAGCGUCAUUUCCUCUGAGCUGAAGACCUCUACAGCACUGCCUUUACCACCACCAGCCUACCUCUUUUCUUCUCUAACAAGCCACAGGCUUGACUGAAGCGUUAGAGAGUAAAUUGCUUAAUGUCUUCUAGAGACCUCAAAUAUGUGAAGUACCCAGUGUGUAAAAGAGAGAGCUUAUUUCAAAUGCAAGCAUAGCAAAACUGACCUGCUGGAGACAAGAGCCUCUGCCUUGUUCCUGCUCACAUGGGGUACUGUGCUUGGACUUCCUAACAAAACAAAUGUAUACUUCCAAGUCCAUCACUUUUAAACCAAUAUACGAAGCAGAAAAACUAAUAUGAUCUUAAUUAAGCAAUGGAAGGGUGACCAUCUGGCUGUUUAGAAAUCACAUUUGACCCAGGUAACAGCAAAUGUUUUCCAUAUCGGAGGAAAAAAUGUAGGCGUGACAUCCACAACUGUCUUAUUAUUGAUAAUGACAAAACAAACAAUUUCAAGAUGUAGUACAAAAGUCAUGUUGAUGGAAAAAUGUAUCUUUCCUACUGUAUGUAUCUCCUAUACAUUAUCAGCCUCCUUGCAGAGCAAGAUUGCUCUUACUGUGGCCAGUAAUAAUAGAAGAGAAUAGGAAAAAAAAAAGGCUUUUCUCAGUGUAUCUGACCAAGUCAAAGAUCUGGUAUUCAUGUCAAUAAAGCUUUACUAUUGCUUGUGAUGAUAAUCUUGUAUUAUCCCACCCCUGAGGUGGCUAUAACUCAUCGUGAAUGAAUAGAUCAUUAUAUAAAAGUAUGUUCCUACUUUGAUGUGCAGUAAUCUGACUGUAUCUGUAUGUGAUGCGAAAGGCCCCCAAACAACAGUAGGGGUGGUCACAAUAAAUCAUUUGAGUAUAAAUUUAGCACUCAUUGCAAUAGCACUGCAAUAUUUCAUAGACACAUGUUCCAAGGGAAGAGGUUUGUUCAUAAAUACACCGAUGAUAAGUGACUUGGACACUCCCAGUAUGAGUUUAGGCAGAUGAGUAAAAGGAAAGUUUAUUCUGAUUUUCUGUGUAGGAGGGUGUGUUUUCCACUAGCAGUGUCUGGUUCAUCCUUGUCAUGUGUUCACAAACUCCACACCCACUCACCCAUAUCCCCAGUACAUAGGAAAAGAAAGGCAGAGUUGUCUGGGUAAGUAAAUUUAGGAAGAGGAAGAUAUUCUGGACCUGCUGUGUGGCCUCACCCGUGGGGAAGGUUUGCAAAGAGGUAAAGAGAGCCAACCUUCCUAAAGGCAGAUGAGCACUGGUCUCUUACUGAGUUCAACUUGUUGAGAAGACCUACAGUGUUUAAACUACUUUUGUGGGGUGUUUUUUUCCCUUUUUUUUCCCUCCAGGGUUACUCCACCUUUCUGAGGAUGAGGAGAAUAUGCAGGCUUAGCUGUGACACUUAGCAGAUAAGUCAGAAAGGUGGUAAAUGCUUGGGAAGAAGAAGCUUUAAUUUGUAACUCUUAAUAAGUUUUCAGAUUAGCUUUCCCUUAAAAAAAUGGAAUGGCUUUUAAACUAAAUAUCCAUUAUAAAAUGUAUUGACAAUAACAGAAGUGAAAAUUCUGUACAUUUGAACUCUCACUAUUUGAGGAAAACUCAUGUAAAAGCAGACAUUGCAUGCAUUCACUGCAAGUGAAUAAGUAAGGAUGCUGAGAUGAAUAAAACCAGAAAGUAAUUCUUAGCCAUCAUACAAAUUCUCAACACUAUCCUUUUUAAUGAUUUCAUAAGUUCUCUGCACCUGAAAAAUAUAUAUUUUCUUUUAGUAACUAUACACUUAUUUAAUUCACCUUCCUAAUAAAUCAACACAUGUUGGGUAUUUGCUUUUCAGACUCGCUUUUCCUUAAUACUGAGGAUUGAACAAUUAAUGCUGGAGUAUUCAUUUGAAAAGCUGAGGAAGAGCAUUAAAAAUAAAAUCUAGAAUGGAUUAAACUCCUGUUUUAUUCUGUGGAAGAAUAAAGAACAACAGUACACAUAUUUAGAGUCAUAAAUGUACCAACAAUCUUAAUUGAACUAGUAUUUUUAAGCAUGUGACUGAAUCAAGUAAUGGACUGGAACAGAGCCUAUAAUCAGCAAUGAUGUAUUCAGACUCUGUUUAAAGAUAAGCAGAUGGGUAAAUUUAAACUCAGAAAAAUAGAUUUUUAGCCCAAUAAAUUUGCCUCCUGGAGUACCUUUUAUACUGCUUGGCAAUAUGUUAUUCUGGUGGGAGAGUCACACCUAUUAAUCUCAAAGUGCACUGGAUCCUCUCUUCAGGAGUAAGUUUUCUUCUGUGCAUAUUUAUAUCCUCCACAGCCUGGAUGGAGAAACUCUCACUUAUCUUGAAACAGAUGGAUAUCAAACCCAACUCUUUCUUCAGAUAAGAAUGUAUUAGGAAUUGCUCAGACGUAUCAGUGCCCUAGAUAAAAGAGAUUCAGACCUUUCCUUUUGUACUUUUCUCAUCUAGCAGAGAAGUUAUGACCUGUAAGCUCCACAGUGACCAGGCUGCUGGGGCUGACUCCCCUAAACUCCACUGUGCAGCUACAGAGUUGUCUUCUCCUGAAGACAACUUGGGGCAAGAUUCUUAUCUCAGGUGACCUGACUUGUCUUUUGGGGCAAUCCCUUUACUCACAGCUGCUGCACCCUCACACCUACUCCUGAGGCACAGACUGUACCAUCUCUUUAAAGAGGAAUUUUUUAAAAAUAGAAAUCCCUCAUUUAUAUGGAAAAGCAUUCUUUGGCUUCUCCCAAGCUUCAGACACCACCAUUCAAACCAAACCAAAUCUGACUCUAUGAGUGUUCUUUCACAAGAUGCGAGAACACGAAAGCUUUACUUUUUGACCAGCAGGUGCCAUGCUGGGAUUGUACCAAUGGUCUGCCUACACCAGUCUGCCACCUCCUCACAAGCCAGAAUCAGAAAUGUCCAGGAAAAAUGUUGGAACUGCACCACAAUGAAGUGGAACUGACCUCCUGGAGGACUUACUCUGGUUUUAAGAGUCAGUGACUCUUUGUUCAGUCAGGAGAAAAUACAAUUGGCUUUUACUUACAGUUGGAAUAGAAGUGAUAUAUUAAUACGAAGGUACUCAGAAAAGAGUGUUUAUAGUGUCAAGACCAAUUUCUAAAAAGCCUAAAUUUUCAAGGCUAUGUGAGCACAAUGGCAUGUUUCUCUUUCUGUUCAUUUGUUCUUCCCUAUGAAACAAUAACUUCCUACAGCAGCAAUCAAGAACAAGGUGAAUUUUACAUUCACCUAAACCAAACACAUUUGAGAAGAAGAAAUUAGGGAAUUUUGUUAACUUUAAUGCAAAAGAUUGUGUUUCUGAAGUCUUUAUCAUUUUAUUCCUGUAAAGGAAUUAAGAAGAUGACAUGAUUAGCAGCUUAGAAAAAUAUCUGUGGAAGUGCCAGUCACUAUAACUGUUUGAUGAACAUGAUACUUACGGAAUAGAUAAGGAGCUUUCUGAUCUGGCACUUAAAAGACUUACAACUUGCAAACACUUUGGGGAGUACCACUGAUUUAACUGGAUCUUGAACGCUGGCACAACAAACCAGUGCUGAAAACACUAAAAGUUCUGCUUGUGGAUAGCCCAGUCAUCUGAUGCUGCUUGCUUUGGGCUCAUGGUUAAUUGUUAACAUUUUGGGGACAAGCCAGUGACCCUGUGUUCUUGCUCAGGAAUGUAUGACCCAUUCACCAGCAACCAGUUUGUGCUGAAUGCCCACUAGGCUGGAAUAUAUUGGUGUUUAAAGAUGCACCCAGCUCAAACUUUUCUGUGUUGCUACUGACUUUUCAUCAGACAUCCUGCUUUAUGGAAUAUUCUCUCAUCCUUCUCUGGAGUGAUGGAGCUGAGAGGAAAGUUUUUAAAAGCUAAAGAUCACUCAAGGAGAAAUCAAAUGGCUUUUGAUUAUAAUUUCUUAUUAUGUUUAAGAAACUGCUUUAAUGAAAUCAAGAUGGAACCCUUUGGAUGCGGCAAAAUUAUGACUUUAACUUGAAAUAACAAAAGAAAUAUUUAAGAAUAAAUAAAUUAGGACAUUGUAGAAAUAUGAUUAAGACCAGUGCAACUAGUAAUAAAACUGAAAAAGAAACAUUCCAAAUUUAAUUUAUUUGUGGCUAGCAAGUUUUAAUUAAAACAAAUCCUAUUUGCUGUGUAUUUACCAAUUUAUUAUACGAGGACCAUAAAGUGGAAUUAUAUUGGAUGAUUUAUUUUGUGGCUGUUUCUCUCUGCUUCUGUGUUCAUGUCUAAAUCAUGAAGAGAAAACAAGACCACUAGCAAAAUCCAAAUAGUUUAUUUGAAACAAAAUGUGUAAUUGUUCAGAAAUAGACUAUUGACUUUCACUGGGUUAAACAGCUCAUGUACUGAUUAGGCUUGAAGCUAUAAUUGUUCUUGUCACCCAAACUCUGCUCAGUCAAUAUCUUUUUAUCAUAUACAUUUUUAAUCACAUAUUAAUAAACAAGAAGGUGUGCUUUAUUGAUGGCUGGAUUAGUUUAUUGACCAACUCAACAAUUCUCUAUAUGGUUUCUGAACACAGAAACAAGGUCAAUGUGUAAAGAUGAGGAAUAGUACUUUCACCAUCUUUAAUACACUUCAAUCUGGCGGUGUACUCCCUUUAUUACAAGUGCCGCUAUCUGUGUAAUUUCUCCAAUUCUUUUAAAAAUUAUUUCAUAUUUGAAACAAUCUCCCUGUUAAAGCACACUUUGGCUUUAGUUUCAGGAACUUUAGACUUCUAAGAGCUUCUCUAAUUUAUUAUUUAUUUGUCACCUUCACACUAAACUGCAUUAUUUUUUAAACCUUUGGGAAUUCAAGUUUUCAGAUACAUGUAGAUUCUUACCAAGUAUUCUCUAAUUGCUUCUAUUUUGGAAAAUAUUGUUGGAAAUUUUUCAUGUUCUCCUAAUAACUUUCUUCAUCCUUCUAAUCACUUCUUGUAAGUUUUCUCCUCUGUCAAUUGUUAUUGUGAGUAUUCUCCUUGAGAUCCAAGUUGGAAAUUAUGGCCUCUGAAACAGCUGUAUGAAAUUAAUGAUUAAAACAAUAAAAAAUGUGGUACUCUCA